GAUUGGGAAUCAUAGAAGCACGUCAGGACACCCUCACAGAACUUCGUCGGAGCCACAAUUCAUAAAUAACCAUGUAGAAAGCAUCAUAAUCAACUGGGGGAACAUGCCAUUGGAAAUGUUUUCGCACCUGCAACACAUUAUUUUGUAACAUCCGAUAUUUGUUAGAGCUUAUUGCUUUAAGGAUUUUCUUAAGCAGUGGAAUGUCUAAAGUGGCAACAACAACUGAAAAGCUCUUCCAAUUUAGAACGUCUGUAAAUGGAAGGUCAUAAUGGUUGGCGAUAAUAACUGGGACGCAUCCGUAAUGUAGCGAAUCCGCGAUGCGAGCUGUGUUUACUUCAAAGCCUUUGACGUGGAGGCAGAACUUACUCCCCAGUAGCUUGUCAGCAUAAGGUGUUGUGAGCCGGCCAAAAUGGACAGAAAUCUCAGAGUCAUUUCUCCAAACUUGAAGAAGCCUUUCACGGACAGGUGAGUUGAUUGAUCCAGCAAAGAAUGCAAGCUUCUUCCUUUUUGAUGAAGUAAGGUUAGGAGGAUCUUCUUGCCUAGGCCAAACUUGUGGCAGAGAUGCAUCCUUGUGAGCGAUGUGACCAGAAAGGAAAUAGCUUGAAGAGCAGACAACUUGAAUGGCAUUAAAUUUCACAUCCUCUGCUUUCUUCAUUG
rnacentral:misc_RNA from 1 species